UACGUAGGGUGCAAGCGUUAUCCGGAUUCACUGGGUUUAAAGGGUGCGUAGGCGGUUUGGUAAGUCAGUGGUGAAAUACUUUCGCUUAACGAAGGAACUGCCAUUGAUACUAUCAAUCUUGAAUGUAGUGGAGGUAGGCGGAAUGCGUCAUGUAGCGGUGAAAUGCUUAGAUAUGACGCAGAACACCAAUUGCGAAGGCAGCUUGCUGCACUACUAUUGACACUGAGGCACGAAAGCGUGGGGAGCAAACAGG
rnacentral:rRNA from 1 species